rfam:Myotis davidii contig112114, whole genome shotgun sequence.
GGUGGUUCUUGGGUGACACACCUGCACCCCGGAAUUGGGCUCCCUCCUCUCUGGUUCCGGAUGUGUCACCUGAGAACCACA